GGACGUGUGGCCCAAUGGCAAGGCGCUUGACUACGAUCCUCUCUUUCAAGCAAAGAGCAGAGUAAUCAAGAGAUUCCAGGUUCGACCCCUGGCACGUUCA